CACGCCAGUGCGAUAAGGGGACUCCAAGUGCGAGGGCAUAUCGUCCUCGCUAUCCUGUACUGUAGGGUAGUACAGUAUCAAGAGCUGGGCAAGACCGGUGCCAGCCGCCGCGGUAAUACCGGCAGCUCGAGUGAUGGCCAAUCUUAUUGGGCCUAAAGCGUCCGUAGCUGGCCGCGCAAGUCCGUCGGGAAAUCCAUCAGCCCAACUGAUGGGCGUCCGGCGGAAACUGCACGGCUUGGGACCGGAAGGCUCGAGAGGUACGUCCGGGGUAGGAGUGAAAUCCCGUAAUCCCGAACGGACCACCGAUGGCGAAAGCAUCUCGAGAAAACGGAUCCGACAGUGAGGGACGAAAG
rnacentral:rRNA from 1 species